UACGGGGGGAGCAAACGUUGUUCGGAAUCACUGGGCGUAAAGGGCGUGUAGGCGGCUGAAUAAGUGGGAUGUUAAAUCCCCCGGCUCAACCGGGGACCUGCAUCUCAUACUGUUCAGCUCGAGCACAUCAGAGGAGACUGGAAUUCCCGGUGUAGCGGUGAAGUGCGUAGAGAUCGGCAGGAACACCCAGGGGGAAACCAGUCGACUGGGCAUCUACUGACGCUGAGGUGCGAGAGCGUGGGGAGCGAACCGG
rnacentral:rRNA from 1 species